rnacentral:rRNA from 1 species
CCUACGGGAGGCAGCAGUGAGGCAUAUUGGUCAAUGGGCGCAAGCCUGAACCAGCCAAGUAGCGUGAGGGAUGACGGCCCUACGGGUUGUAAACUUCUUUUAUAAAGGAAUAAAGUGAGGCACGUGUGCCUUUUUGUAUGUACUUUAUGAAUAAGGAUCGGCUAACUCCGUGCCAGCAGCCGCGGUAAUACGGAGGAUCCGAGCGUUAUCCGGAUUUAUUGGGUUUAAAGGGUGCGUAGAUGGGUUGUUAAGUCAGUUGUGAAAGUUUGCGGCUCAACCGUAAAAUUGCAAUUGAGACUGGGAGUCUUGAGUACAGUUGAGGGAGGCGGAAUUCGUGGUGUAGCGGUGAAAUGCUUAGAUAUCACGAAGAACCCCGAUUGCGAAGGCAGCCUACCAAACUGUGACUGACAUUGAUGCUCGAAAGCGUGGGUAUCAAACAGGAUUAGAUACCCUUGUAGUC